UGUAUUCAAUAUAAAUUGGGGUAUACAAAAUAUAUUGACCGGCCAGUGAAACAAACACUUCACAAAAGAAUAGUAUUUGUUGCCCAGUCGUCUCAGAAGAAAACAAAACAAGGAAAACUACAAAAUUGAAAUAAACACCCAUCCCCCCCAAUACAAAGGAAAAAGAAAGAAAGAAGAAAACUACUCCUCCUCAACCUAUCAGUCACCCUCGAUGUCGGCAAGAAUUUCCUCUUUAUCGUUUACCUCGGCCGCUUUAGUGUCGACCACCCCAAGGUCAUCAUGAAUCUCUUCCAACUAGAUCAGACGCCCCUCAUAGACGUCCUUCAUCAUAUCAAAACCUGUAGUGAUAACAUCAGUACCCAAGAGGAAGGUCACCUCACGAAAGGCCUUGUUAAAACCCUCUUCGUGCUCCGUCAUGAUGGAGGUGUUCAGUUCAAUUAAUUGUUCAUUCAC
rnacentral:lncRNA from 1 species